AGAGUUUGAUCAUGGCUCAGAUUGAACGCUGGCGGCAUGCUUAAUACAUGCAAGUCGAACGGUAACAGAUUCUUCGGAAUGCUGACGAGUGGCGGACGGGUGAGUAAUACAUAGGAAUCUGCCCAUGUAGUGGGGGACAACUUGGGGAAACUCAAGCUAAUACCGCAUAAUUCCUACGGGAUAAAGAGGGCCACUGCUUGCAAGCUCUCGCUACUGGAUGAGCCUAUGUCGGAUUAGUUAGUUGGUAAGGUAAUGGCUUACCAAGACAGCGAUCCGUAGCUGGUUUGAGAGGAUGAUCAGCCACACUGGGACUGAGACACGGCCCAGACUCCUACGGGAGGCAGCAGUAGGGAGUAUUGGACAAUGGGCGCAAGCCUGAUCCAGCAAUGCCGCGUGUGUGAAGAAGGCCUGCGGGUUGUAAAGCACUUUCAAUUGGGAAGAAAGAUUAUGAGUUAAUACCUUAUAAUAUUGACG
rnacentral:rRNA from 1 species